UAGCUAACCGCCAUGUAAGGUACACGUUCAUGUAAAUAAGUCCAGCCACAAACAACCGGUUCCGGUACAUUCCCGGGCCUUCACCUUGAUAGGUUUGGUUCCGUCCACCAGGACUUUGCCGUGCAUUUCCUCCAUGGCCAGACAGGCCUGAGACGAUUUGGCAAACUUCACAUAGCAAAUGCCUUUGGACUCUUUUGUCUGUUUAUCUUUCACGACCCACACUCCCUGGAUGUCCCCGAACACGCAGAAACUCUCCCUGAGCUCAUCUUCGGUGACGGCGCGGCUGGUGACCAGAAACAGGCGGCUGUUGGGAGGGUCGUCGAGGUUUUCCGUGGCUUGUUUCGGUGUGGCGUUGGACUCCUCCAUCUUGUCUCGCCAACCACCCGUGGUGUUGCGUUCAUGAGCCCUGGGAUUUCUCCCACUCUUCUUCCGCUCCUUCCAGAUGUUUUUUUUAACCUGUUUGGCCUAACAAAGGUCAAAGGAGCUUACACGUGACGACCAACCUACCUACCACCUACGCCUGCUGGCUGCGGCCUUCAUCAUUAAAGCACCACCUCCCACCAUGGCCGCCAACCCCUCCGCUGUCAAGAUGAUGAUGUGUAGGGAGCCUACCCCAGCUGACUUUGAGCGAGAGGCGGAGGACACCCCGGUCUGAUCCCGAUUGAGGCAUGCUAACCACUCAUCCACCGUGCUGCACCUCCCAAGAUGAAUCAUUACAAGCUGUGAUUUCUAUACUAAGAUCGUGUUCUGUUUGUUGGAGUGAUGCUGAAUGAGUGCAAAAUGAAUAUUCUUUAUUGAAUAAAUUGAAUUCUAUUAUUUCUAUGAUUUAUUGUGUAUUUUAUCUCCAGUACUCAUUGAUGUGUUUAUGCUAUUUGAAUACACUCGAUGAAGAAACAUCUCGUUCAAGUCCAGCUUCCUCUGGAAGACUCGUGUAGGUUGUUGUGCACAGAAUGGGAACUUGAACGUGCAUAUAACUGCACCUUAUUGCACCUAACAGUGUAUUCUAUAUUCUAUAGCCUAUAUUUGAUGUUUUUAUUUUGCACUUUACCGCUUUUUAGCUCGGUAAGUCACUUUAUGUUCAUGUAAAUGUAGACCAGAAUGUCUGAACUUGUGAUACAUAGAAAUGUGUUUGUUUGAAAGUACCAAUUACAUACUGCACAUUUUUUUCCAUGUAAUGUAAUGUAAUGUUUUCCCAUGAUGUGAUUUCAAUAAAAUAAA